UGGGGAAUAUUGCGCAAUGGGGGGAACCCUGACGCAGCCAUGCCGCGUGAAUGAAGAAGGCCUUCGGGUUGUAAAGUUCUUUCGGUAUUGAGGAAGGUUGAUGUGUUAAUAGCACAUCAAAUUGACGUUAAAUACAGAAGAAGCACCGGCUAACUCCGUGCCAGCAGCCGCGGUAAUACGGAGGGUGCGAGCGUUAAUCGGAAUAACUGGGCGUAAAGGGCACGCAGGCGGUUAUUUAAGUGAGGUGUGAAAGCCCCGGGCUUAACCUGGGAAUUGCAUUUCAGACUGGGUAACUAGAGUACUUUAGGGAGGGGUAGAAUUCCACGUGUAGCGGUGAAAUGGGUAGAGAUGUGGAGGAAUACCGAAGGCGAAGGCAGCCCCUUGGGAAUGUACUGACGCUCAUGUGCGAAAGCGUGGGGAGCAAACAGGAUUAGAUACCCUGGUAGUCCACGCUGUAAACGCUGUCGAUUUGGGGGUUGGGGUUUAACUCUGGCGCCCGUAGCUAACGUGAUAAAUCGACCGCCUGGGGAGUACGGCCGCAAGGUUA
rnacentral:rRNA from 1 species